CGGAUCUCUUAAAGCCGUCUCAGUUCGGACUGUAGGCUGCAACUCGCCUACACGAAGCUGGAAUCGCUAGUAAUCGCGGAUCAGCACGCCGCGGUGAAUACGUUCCCGGGCCUUGUACACACCGCCCGUCACACCAUGAGAGUCUGUAACACCCAAAGCCGGUGGGAUAACCUUUAUAGGAGUCAGCCGUCUAAGGUAGGACAGAUGAUUAGGGUGAAGUCGUAACAAGGUAGC
rnacentral:rRNA from 1 species